rnacentral:tRNA from 1 species
UGAUAAUUAGUUUAAGUUAAAACAAGUGAUUUCGACUCACUAAAUUAUGUACYCUGAUCAUAAUUAUCAA